GAGGUGGCUUCCGGCCGCCAGGCGAGACUCCGCGGGAAAACUCCCUGCUAGAGAGACUAGGAGAUUUGGGGCUGCGGCCGUUUCCUCCGGAGCACCCACGGGACUGUGUGCUGGGGUCCCUCCACCGGCUGUGUCCUUUAUUCUUCUUUCUCACCCAACGAUUUACCUGAACGGUUAUAAAGUGCACGUUAUUUCCCUAAGGUCCUUCUUACUGAUGUGUUGCUCUUCUUCAUGGCUCGUGAAAACUAUUAGAGUCAUCCAAGGGUGGGAAGAGAGAUCAGCAACGUUAACUGGGUGUCAAGAAAACAUACCGAGAUUGAAGCCAUCCACUUCUGCAGGAACACCGAAAAGAAAGCUUACAAUCUGAAGGUGUCCGUUCCUACACUGGUCAGACCACUGUCCUUGGGGCAGCUGGGGUCUUUGGGACCCUCCACCGGGCUCGCCGGUCCGUCGGACUUUUGGCUGAGAUCCGUGUCAGACUCCUCCGAAUAGUCGUCUGUUGGCAUCGAGGGCUGAACCCCUGAGGUGCUGCAUGAACUUGAGAGCGCGCUCUCGCACGCCAGGCAGUGGUACGAGCCGCCGCCGCCGCCGCCGCCGCCACCGCCGCCGCCGCCGCCACUGCCACCGCCGCCGCCGCCGGUGGGGACGUGAAGCACCAUCUCUUGCAGGUUCACCACAGACUGGCCGAAGAAGCAGAGGGACUUCAGGUGGCUCCUCGCUGCCUCCUCGUCGCUGAAGCCCGCCUGGCACUUGCGGCAGACCAACUUGUACUGCACCUUUGGAACAAUGAAGGGGUCGUAGAGGGAGUCCGCACUUUUGCUUUCUGCUUCUGGCUCUUCAGGGAGUUUCGGCAGGAGGGGGGACACCUCACGGGGGGUGUUUUUCUGUUCUUCUGGUUUGGGGGAUUCUUUGGCAGGGUCUUUGUCUGGGGAAGGAGCCCCGGGGGGGACUGGGGUUUGGCUUGCUUUGGGCUGCUGCUGCUGCACUUUUUGCUGCUGCUGCUGCUGUAGUUGCCGCUGCUGCUGCUGCUGAAUUGCCUCCUGCAGACUCUGCUGGUAUUGCUGGUACUGCUGCAGUAGGGAGCCUGGGGACAGCCCCAUCAGGGCCUGCGACAGUGCAGGGCUGUAGGGGAACAGGCCUUCCAUGCCAUACAUAGGCUGCAGGUACCCGCUCUGCAGGGCGCCAGGGAUCUGGGGAGCAUAAUAAGGAGAAAAGCCUGGUACAAAGUAAGGAAGGAACUGGCUUGUGAGCAAUGCUGUGGGGUCCGAAGUCAACGCGGCCUGCAGGGCCUGCAGCUGUGCAGGGUCUACCGCAUACUCCAUGGUGGGCAGCGGGGCUGAGAUCGUGGCUGCAGUUGCCGUGGGGGCCUCUCCUUUCUCCUUCUUGGGGACAGGCAGGGGUUCCCCUUUCCCUUUGUGUGCCUUUUCCUUCUCCUUUACUUUCU
rnacentral:lncRNA from 1 species